GACGAACGCUGGCGGCGUGCUUAACACAUGCAAGUCGAACGGAAAGGCCCUGCUUUUGUGGGGUGCUCGAGUGGCGAACGGGUGAGUAACACGUGAGUAACCUGCCCUUGACUUUGGGAUAACUUCAGGAAACUGGGGCUAAUACCGGAUAGGAGCUCCUGCUGCAUGGUGGGGGUUGGAAAGUUUCGGCGGUUGGAGAUGGACUCGCGGCUUAUCAGCUUGUUGGUGGGGUAGUGGCUUACCAAGGCUUUGACGGGUAGCCGGCCUGAGAGGGUGACCGGCCACAUUGGGACUGAGAUACGGCCCAGACUCCUACGGGAGGCAGCAGUGGGGAAUAUUGCACAAUGGGCGGAAGCCUGACGCAGCAACGCCGCGUGCGGGAUGACGGCCUUCGGGUUGUAAACCGCUUUCGCCUGUGACGAAGCGUGAGUGACGGUAAUGGGUAAAGAAGCACCGGCUAACUACGUG
rnacentral:rRNA from 1 species